GCGAGCGGCGGACGGGUGAGUAAUGUCUGGGAAACUGCCUGAUGGAGGGGGAUAACUACUGGAAACGGUAGCUAAUACCGCAUGACCUCGAAAGAGCAAAGUGGGGGAUCUUCGGACCUCACGCCAUCGGAUGUGCCCAGAUGGGAUUAGCUAGUAGGUGAGGUAAUGGCUCACCUAGGCGACGAUCCCUAGCUGGUCUGAGAGGAUGACCAGCCACACUGGAACUGAGACACGGUCCAGACUCCUACGGGAGGCAGCAGUGGGGAAUAUUGCACAAUGGGCGCAAGCCUGAUGCAGCCAUGCCGCGUGUGUGAAGAAGGCCUUAGGGUUGUAAAGCACUUUCAGCGAGGAGGAAGGCAUCACACUUAAUACGUGUGGUGAUUGACGUUACUCGCAGAAGAAGCACCGGCUAACUCCGUGCCAGCAGCCGCGGUAAUACGGAGGGUGCAAGCGUUAAUCGGAAUUACUGGGCGUAAAGCGCACGCAGGCGGUUUGUUAAGUCAGAUGUGAAAUCCCCGCGCUUAACGUGGGAACUGCAUUUGAAACUGGCAAGCUAGAGUCUUGUAGAGGGGGGUAGAAUUCCAGGUGUAGCGGUGAAAUGCGUAGAGAUCUGGAGGAAUACCGGUGGCGAAGG
rnacentral:rRNA from 1 species